GCCAACAAUCUAGCCCUUCAAUAUCAAAUGAGCCCACUAAUCUAAUAUUACAAGUUAAAACAUUUUAUAAAUCUAGUAAAGGCGAUUAAAAAAUUGAUAAGAGCAAUAAAAAAGUACCGCAAGGGAAAGAUGAAAUAAAAAUGAAAUAAAUAUUAAGCACAAAACAGUAGAGCCUAACUCUCGUACCUUUUGCAUCAUGGUUUAACUAGUCUAAUCAAGCACAACGACUUAAAGUUUGACCUCCCGAAACUAAGUGAGCUACUUCAGGGCAGCUUAUUGAGCAAACCCGUCUCUGUUGCAAAAGAGUGGAAAGACCCUCAAGUAGAGGUGACAAGCCUAACGAACUUAGUGAUAGCUGGUUAUUCAAGAAAAGGAUCUUAGUCCAGCCUAAAGUCUUUUUAGUUCCCCGAAACAUAAUUUUGACUUUAGAGUAAUUCAAAUAAGGUACAGCUUAUUUGAAAAAGGAUACAACCUAAACUAAUGGGUAAUACUUAAAUCUUAUAAUCAAGUGGGCCUAAAAGCAGCCACCUUUUAAACAGCGUCAAAGCUUAAUUAUAACUAAUUUUAAUUUCUCUUAAUACACCAAACCCUUUAAUUCUAUUGAGUAAUUCUAUAUUAUUAUAGAACAUAUAAUGUUAAAACUAGUAACAAGAAGAAGACCUUCUCUUAAAUGCAAGUGUAAAUCAGCAAGGACCGACCACUGAUAAUUAUAAUCCUUGAAAAUAUAUUAAUAACCUUACAAGAAAAUUUUAAUAAACUAUAUGUUAAUCUAACACAAGAGCAUUACAAGAAAGAUUAAAAGAAAAAGAAGGAACUCGGCAAAUAUUAACCCCGCCUGUUUACCAAAAACAUCGCCUCUUGAAUAAUUAUAAGAGGUCCAGCCUGCCCAGUGACCCUGUUCAACGGC
rnacentral:rRNA from 1 species